rnacentral:rRNA from 1 species
CCUACGGUAGGCUGCAGUGAGGAAUAUUGGUCAAUGGGCGGGAGCCUGAACCAGCCAAGCCGCGUGAGGGAAGCAGGUACAGCGUAUCGUAAACCUCUUUUGACAGGGAACAAAGGCGGGGACUAGUCCCCGGAUGAGGGUACCUGAAGAAAAAGCAUCGGCUAACUCCGUGCCAGCAGCCGCGGUAAUACGGAGGAUGCGAGCGUUAUCCGGAUUUAUUGGGUUUACAGGGUGCGCAGGCGGCCUGUAAAGUCAGCGGUAAAAGCCCGGGGCGCAACCCCGGCGAGCCGGUGAAACUGGCGGGCUGGAGAUGGAGAGAAGUACGCGGAAUGCGCGGGGUAGCGGUGAAAUGCUUAGAUAUCGCGCAGAACCCCGAUUGCGAAGGCAGCGUACCGGCUCCACACUGACGCGGAGGCACGAAAGCGUGGGUAGCGAACAGGAUUAGAGACCCCUGUAGUC